rnacentral:rRNA from 1 species
CCUACGGGUGGCAGCAGUGGGGAAUCUUGCACCAUGGAGGGAAGUCUGAUGCAGCGACGCCGCGUGCGUGAUGAAGUACUUCGUUUUGUAAAGCUUUAUUAUCAGGGAAGAAAGUGACGGUACGUAACAGUGCAGCUCUGUCUAAAUACGUGCCAGCAAACGAGGUAAGACGUAUGGAGCAAGCGUUAUCCGGAGUUACUGUGUGGAAAGUGAGAGUAGGUGGCAGUGCAUGUCUGAAGGGAAAACCCAAGGAUCAACCAUGGUAAGUCUUUAGAAACGGCACAGCUAGAGUGCAGAAGAGGAAAGUGGAAUUCUAAGUGUAGCGGUGAAAUGCGUAGAGAUAAGGAGGAACACCAGUGGCGAAGGCGACUUGCUGGUCUGUAACUGACGCUGAUGUGCGAAAGCGUGGGGAUCAAACAGGAUUAGAUACCCUAGUAGUC